UCCCCAGUGGCCUAAUGGAUAAGGCAGUGGCCUCCUAAGACAGGGAUUGUGGGUUCAAGUCCCAUCUGGGGUG
rnacentral:tRNA from 1 species